CAAAUAGUUUAAUUUAUUAAAUAAAAUAUUUAUUACUUUUAAUAAUGGACGUUAUAAAACAGGUUGGCAAGUAUUUAAACACUCCAGUUGGAACUUUGUGCUAUAACACUGACAAAGUGCUAACUACUUCUUUAGAUAAAGUAAACGUUGAAGGAUUCGCUACUAUAAUAUUACGAUUAGCAGCCAAAAGCAACCAAUCCAUGAACCAAGAACAGGUGUUAUUAAGUUACCAAUGGCUUGAACACAUCUCCAUGUAUAUGAAUCAAGCUGCAACGAAUCCUGCAUUUGCUAAAAACUUUUUGUUGGGUCUCAAUAGAACAUUAGAGAAAAACUCAUAUCUCACCGGUAGUGCUUUGACCAUAGCCGAUAUUGCUGCCUACUAUGUUCUUCAUCCUAUAAUUGAGCGUCUCUCAUUGAGUGAACAAGAGCAAGUAAUAAAUGUAUGUAGAUGGUUCAAGAAUGUACAGGCACGACCAAAAGUGUGUGGCAGUAAAAAACCUGUACAGUUAAACACUUUGACUUUAUCAAUUUUAGCACCGGCUGUACAUUAAUUUUUAAUUCCAUUUUCAAUUAUGAACGGCAAAUAAAUUAUGUAUAUCAAAAUGAUUGGUAUGAAAUUGUAUGUGCUUAUUAUGUUUUGCAUUACUGGAUAUGAUAGUAGACGUAUACCACCGUCAGAGAUAGAGCCGCUGCCCCCUCAGAUAUUCCCCACCGACCUGGCCGGGCUGCUCGACCUGCAGAAACCGUUCGUGUACCACCCUCAGCCGUUCACCUAUCCGCAUUAUCCUAUUGUUCUGUACAUAUAGAUGUAAUGAACGUA